rnacentral:misc_RNA from 1 species
GAUGAAGAACGUAGCGAAAUGCGAUAAGUAGUGUGAAUUGCAGAAUUCAGUGAAUCAUCGAAUCUUUGAACGCACAUUGCGCCCCUUGGUAUUCCAUGGGGCAUGCCUGUUCGAGCGUCAUUUGUACCUUCAAGCUUUGCUUGGUGUUGGGUGUUUGUCUCGCCUCUGCGUGUAGACUCGCCUUAAAACAAUUGGCAGCCGGCGUAUUGAUUUCGGAGCGCAGUACAUCUCGCGCUUUGCACUCAUAACGACGACGUCCAAAAGUACAUUUUUACACUCUUGACCUCGGAUCAGGUAGGGAUACCCGCUGAACUUAAGCAUAUCAAUAAGCGGAAGA